UAGCUAGUUGGUGAGGUAAAGGCUUACCAAGGCGACGAUCUGUAGCGGGUCUGAGAGGAUGAUCCGCCACGCUGGAACUGAGACACGGUCCAGACUCCUACGGGAGGCAGCAGUGGGGAAUUUUGGACAAUGGGGGCAACCCUGAUCCAGCCAUGCCGCGUGAGUGAAGAAGGCCUUCGGGUUGUAAAGCUCUUUCGGCCGGGAAGAAAUCGCAUGGGCCAAUACCCUGUGUGGAUGACGGUACCGGAAUAAGAAGCACCGGCUAACUACGUGCCAGCAGCCGCGGUAAUACGUAGGGUGCGAGCGUUAAUCGGAAUUACUGGGCGUAAAGCGUGCGCAGGCGGUUUUGUAAGACAGGCGUGAAAUCCCCGGGCUUAACCUGGGAACUGCGUUUGUGACUGCAAGGCUAGAGUACGGCAGAGGGGGGUGGAAUUCCACGUGUAGCAGUGAAAUGCGUAGAGAUGUGGAGGAACACCAAUGGCGAAGGCAGCCCCCUGGGUCGAUACUGACGCUCAUGCACGAAAGCGUGGGUAGCAAACAGGAUUAGAUACCCUGGUAGUCCACGCCCUAAACUAUGUCAACUAGGUGUUGGGUGGGUAAAACCAUUUAGUACCGUAGCUAACGCGUGAAGUUGACCGCCUGGGGAGUACGGCCGCAAGGUUAAAACUCAAAGGAAUUGACGGGGACCCGCACAAGCGGUGGAUGAUGUGGAUUAAUUCGAUGCAACGCGAAAAACCUUACCUACCCUUGACAUGCCAGGAACUUGCCAGAGAUGGCUUGGUGCCCGAAAGGGAGCCUGGACACAGGUGCUGCAUGGCUGUCGUCAGCUCGUGUCGUGAGAUGUUGGGUUAAGUCCCGCAACGAGCGCAACCCUUGUCGUUAAUUGCCAUCAUUUAGUUGGGCACUUUAACGAGACUGCCGGUGACAAACCGGAGGAAGGUGGGGAUGACGUCAAGUCCUCAUGGCCCUUAUGGGUAGGGCUUCACACGUCAUACAAUGGUCGGUACAAAGGGUUGCCAAGCCGCGAGGCGGAGCCAAUCCCAGAAAGCUGAUCGUAGUCCGGAUUGCAGGCUGCAACUCGCCUGCAUGAAGUCGGAAUCGCUAGUAAUCGUGGAUCAGCAUGUCACGGUGAAUACGUUCCCGGGUCUUGUACACACCGCCCGUCACACCAUGGGAGCGGGUUCCGCCAGAAGUAGGUAGCCUAACCGCAAGGGGGGCGCUUACCACGGCGGGGUUCGUGACUGGGGUGAAGUCGUAACAAGGUAGCCGUAGGGGAACCUGCGGCUG
rnacentral:rRNA from 1 species